rnacentral:tRNA from 1 species
GAGGGUAUAGCUCAGUGACAGAACAGAUGCUUAGCAUGCACGAGGUCCUGGGUUCAAUCCCCAGUACCUCCA